UUCAAAUAUCCUAUCAAAUAAAGCAAACGUACUACUGUGACAUCAAUAAGAAAUUUUGGUAGUAGUUGGUAGUUGAUGUAUUUGCUUAGAUGACUUGUGUGCAAUGAUUAUAAAAUUCCAUAUAAGCAUUUAAAAAUUGCCAAGUUAAGAGCUGGGCUGUAUGCUACAUAAAUUAGAAAUUGAUGAUGGACCAUGUACCCUGAGAAUGACACGGUUCUGAUACCUGCUCUUCUUUUCCCAAACAUAAACACAGAAAUAAGGUUGAUAGCGGUAGGUAGAUGUUUCAAUAUCCAGUACCCGCACUUCUAUUCAUCAUCAGGUAUAAAUUAAAUUUUCAACGUGAACUUGACAUUUUUCAUUCCACGUUUAGGGAAAAUCUGUUAUUUCGGUUGACGAUUCAUGGAAAAUUUUAGGAUGCAGGGAACAGCUGAAGAAACUAUCAGCCUUGGAGAUGGAACUUGCUAGAGCCAGACAGGAGGGUUUUGUUUCAAAGUAUUUACCAGAGAUGAAUAAAACUCCCAAGACAAAUCCACUUGUCGUAAUAGGAAUACUUACAGGAUUUGGACGCAAGAAUGAAAGAGAUGCUAUACGCAAGGCAUGGAUGGGAACUGGUAAAUUAUCACAUUAUCUACCAUCUUAUGUUUCAUUUCUUGUUAUGGCCAGAUUGGUUCUGCUACUGCAAAUGUGAUAUAAGCCUCCUUUACUUAAAGUUCAUGAAUAUUAAAAGAAAAACUUGGGGAGAUCCUUGAAGAGUAACUCAUGGAAAAAUUCCUAUUUGAAAUUCAAUGUCAAAGCCUAAGUUGGGGCAUCUCUAUGUAAAAAUUUCUCUACACCAGAAUAAGGAGAAUUGUGUGGCCAUUAUAUGUUAGCU